rnacentral:rRNA from 1 species
AGAACGAACGCUGGCGGCAGGCCUAACACAUGCAAGUCGAACGCCCGUAGCAAUACGGGAGUGGCAGACGGGUGAGUAACGCGUGGGAACGUGCCCAAAGGUACGGAACAACUCCGGGAAACUGGAGCUAAUACCGUAUGUGCCCGAGAGGGGAAAGAUUUAUCGCCUUUGGAUCGGCCCGCGUCUGAUUAGCUAGUUGGUGGGGUAAUGGCCUACCAAGGCGACGAUCAGUAGCUGGUCUGAGAGGAUGAUCAGCCACACUGGGACUGAGACACGGCCCAGACUCCUACGGGAGGCAGCAGUGGGGAAUAUUGGACAAUGGGCGCAAGCCUGAUCCAGCCAUGCCGCGUGAGUGAUGAAGGCCUUAGGGUUGUAAAGCUCUUUCGCCAGGGACGAUAAUGACGGUACCUGGAUAAGAAGCCCCGGCUAACUUCGUGCCAGCAGCCGC